UACGUAGGGGGCGAGCGUUGUCCGGAGUUACUGGGCGUAAAGGGCAUGCAGGCGGUCGGACGCGUUUCGGGUGACAGCGGGUGGCUUAACUACCCGAGUGGUCGAAAGACGGUUUGACUUGAGGACGCGAGAGGGACACGGAAUUCCGGGUGGAGUGGUGAAAUGCGUAGAGAUCCGGAGGAACACCGAAGGCGAAGGCAGUGUCCUGGCUGGUGACUGACGCUGAGGUGCGAAAGCUAGGGGAGCGAACGGG
rnacentral:rRNA from 1 species